UACGUAGGGUGCAAGCGUUAAUCGGAAUUACUGGGCGUAAAGCGUGCGCAGGCGGUUUUGUAAGACUGUCGUGAAAUCCCCGGGCUUAACCUGGGAAUGGCGAUGGUGACUGCAAGGCUAGAGUUUGGCAGAGGGGGGUAGAAUUCCACGUGUAGCAGUGAAAUGCGUAGAUAUGUGGAGGAACACCGAUGGCGAAGGCAGCCCCCUGGGUCAAAACUGACGCUCAUGCACGAAAGCGUGGGGAGCAAACAGG
rnacentral:rRNA from 2 species